rnacentral:rRNA from 1 species
AGCUCCAAAAGCGUAUAUUAAAGUUGUUGCAGUUAAAAAGCUCGUAGUUGAACCUUGGGCGUGUGCCGCCGGUCCACUUUGGUGCGCACUGACCGGCGCACGCCUUUCCUUCUGGGGAGCGCAAGCAAACCAGGACGUUUACUUUGAAAAAAUUAGAGUGUUCAAAGCAGGCCUUUGCUCGAAUAUAUUAGCAUGGAAUAAUAGAAUAGGACGCAUGGUUCUAUUUUGUUGGUUUCUAGGACCAUCGUAAUGAUUAAUAGGGACGGACGGGGGCAUCAGUAUUCCGUAGUCAGAGGUGAAAUUCUUGGAUUUACGGAAGACUAACUACUGCGAAAGCAUUUGCCAAGCACGUUUUCA